rnacentral:ncRNA from 1 species
UAAAUUGAGAGUUUGAUCCUGGCUCAGGACGAACGCUGGCGGCGUGCUUAACACAUGCAAGUCGAG